rnacentral:rRNA from 1 species
UAGGGAAUCUUCCACAAUGGACGAAAGUCUGAUGGAGCAACGCCGCGUGAGUGAAGAAGGUUUUCGGAUCGUAAAGCUCUGUUGUUGGUGAAGAAGGAUAGGGGCAGUAACUGGUCUUUAUUUGACGGUAAUCAACCAGAAAGUCACGGCUAACUACGUGCCAG